AAGCACCACUGUGUGGCAGAUGAUGGAAAUUGUGUGACACAGUGUAAGCUUCCUCUCCUGGAAGGUCUGUCCUGUUCCACUUACCUCUCCUCCCAAAGACCAGCUGUUACAUAGGCUUACACAGU
ensembl:snoRNA